ensembl:rRNA 5S_rRNA 5S ribosomal RNA
ACCUAUGUCCAUGCUACCCUGAACACACCUGGUCCCAAAUGAUCUCAGAAGCUAAGCAGGGUCGGGCCUGGUUAGUACUUGGAUGGGAGACCACCUAGGAAGACCAGGUGCUGUAAGCA